rnacentral:rRNA from 1 species
GAGGGUGCAAGCGUUAUCCGGAUUCACUGGGUUUAAAGGGUGCGUAGGCGGUCAGGUAAGUCAGUGGUGAAAUCUCUGGGCUUAACCCAGAAACUGCCGUUGAUACUAUUUGUCUUGAAUAUCCUGGAGGUAGGCGGAAUAUGUCAUGUAGCGGUGAAAUGCUUAGAUAUGACAUAGAACACCGAUAGCGAAGGCAGCUUACUACAGGAUGAUUGACGCUGAGGCACGAAAGCGUGGGGAGCAAACAGG